UGGGGAAUAUUGGACAAUGGGCGCAAGCCUGAUCCAGCCAUGCCGCGUGAGUGAUGAAGGCCCUAGGGUUGUAAAGCUCUUUCACCGGUGAAGAUAACGACGGUAACCGGAGAAGAAGCCCCGGCUAACUUCGUGCCAGCAGCCGCGGUAAUACGAAGGGGGCUAGCGUUGUUCGGAUUUACUGGGCGUAAAGCGCACGUAGGCGGACUUUUAAGUCAGGGGUGAAAUCCCGGGGCUCAACCCCGGAACUGCCUUUGAUACUGGAAGUCUUGAGUAUGGUAGAGGUGAGUGGAAUUCCGAGUGUAGAGGUGAAAUUCGUAGAUAUUCGGAGGAACACCAGUGGCGAAGGCGGCUCACUGGACCAUUACUGACGCUGAGGUGCGAAAGCGUGGGGAGCAAACAGG
rnacentral:rRNA from 1 species